rnacentral:tRNA from 1 species
CAAAGUGUAGCUUAACC